AACCCAUGCUGAGGGAACUUUCUCAGAAGGUCCUUGUAUCUCUCCCAUGCAUCGUAGAGUGUUUCUAAAUCCAUCUGCACAAAAGAGGAGAUAUCAUUACGUAAUUU
rfam:Gossypium hirsutum cultivar TM-1 chromosome 1, whole genome shotgun sequence